UCUGAUUAGACUAAAAAGAAA
ensembl:piRNA 21ur-2660 ncRNA